GGGAACCGACAGGAGCGGAGCAGCGUGUUCCUCUUCCCAACCCAAGAAGACCAGCAGGUGCAAUCAGCGAGAUUACUCUUGACAUUACUCUCACCUCAGCCCCUGUGCCAAGCCAAUACAGACCGGACCAGUCGCUCACUCAAUUUGAAGAUGGAGAUGGAAGACGAAACUUAAAUCAACCCUCCUAUCCAACUCCUGGUAUUACAGCAGUAAUAUGGACUUAGAGAACCUUCUCAACUACAUUGUAGCUGGGAUCAACAGACAAAAAAGCAGACUCAACACAACGAUACCUGUGAGGUUUUCUUACAAGGCUGGAGAAUUGGUCAGGAAACCUUAGGAGAGACGCAUGAGUCUUUCAGUGAUCUCUUGUGACGUUGUGGAGCAGGAUGUGGUCAUGGCAGAAGUGAAAAGUGGUACAGGAAUUUAUUGUGCAAGCCUUCACUUAUAGAUUACGCACGUAAAGCCACAGAGGAGACGCACAGGCUGCAUCACCAAGAGUAAUAAGAUUAGACAAACAAAAACCACAAGCAGCGACAGAAAAACUUCUACCCUCGUCAGAUGCCAUGACAAGGCCACUGAAUCUAAAUAAACACGGGAGUGUGUGACAGAAAAAAGGAGAAAGAGAGACUGCGUGUAUUGCGGUAGUCGUGCACGACUGUGGAUUUGAAUUGAGCUGCACUCAGAUUGCCUCCACCAAUCAGAAGACUUACUUAGGCACGCUUCAGGGUGACCGCAAAGGAACAGAAAACAAAUGCUGUGCAAACAAACCAGCCCUGAUCCGAAGCCACUGAGCCCAU